rnacentral:rRNA from 1 species
GAUGAACGCUGGCGGCGUGCCUAACACAUGCAAGUCGAACGGAAAGGCACUGCUUUUGUGGGGUGAUCGAGGGCCGAACGCGUGAGUAACACGUGUGUAUCCUGCCCUUGUCUUUGGGGUAACUUCAGGUAACUGGGGCUAAUAUAGGAUAGGAGAUCCUGCUGCAUGGUGGGCGUUGGAAAGUUUCGGCGGUUGGGGAUGGACUGGCGGCUUAUCAGCUUGCUGGUGGGGUAGUGGCUUACCCAGGCUGUGACGGGUAGCCGGCCUGAGAGGGUGACCGGCGACAUGAGGACUGAGGGACGGCCCAGACUCCUACGGGAGGCAGCAGGGGGAAGUAUUGCACAGUGGGCGGAAGCGUGAUGCAGCAGCGCCGCGUUCGGGAUGACGGCCUUCGGGUUGUGAACAGCUUUCGCCUGAGACGAAGCGGUAGUGACGGUAAUGGGUAAAGAAGCACCGGCUAACUACGUG